rnacentral:rRNA from 1 species
AGAGCCCAACUUGAAAAUCUCCUAUGAGCGUCAUAGGCGAAUUGUAGUCUAGAGAAGCGUCCUCUGUGGCGGGCCGUGCCCAAGUCCCCUGGAAGGGGGCGUCGGAGAGGGUGAGAACCCCGUCGGCGGCGGCUGCCAGCCACUCCACGAGGCGCUUUCGCAGAGUCGGGUUGCUUGGGAAUGCAGCCCAAAGCCGGUGGUAAAUCCCAUCGAAGGCUGAAUACCGACGGGAGACCGAUAGCGAA